UCCCUGGUGGUCCUGUGGCUAGGACUCUGCACUCCCAAUGCAGAGGCCUAGGGUUCGAUCCUUGGCCUGGGAA
rnacentral:tRNA from 1 species